rnacentral:lncRNA from 1 species
UCAAUUCUCACCUCCUACAAAAUACAUUAUAUUUAUAUUUAAUAGACUUAUGUCCUUGAGGAACUCAAUGAAUAAAGCAUUUAUAGCUUGUGUGGAAUAUCUUAAAAGAAUUAAAGAAUUGCACUAUUAGGCCAUGACAAAUAUAAAGUAUAGUCAAAAAAAAAUAUUAGCCACAUAUUAAAAAAGUAUAAACUUCUUGAGUUUAAUAGAAGCAAUAAUCAAAAGGUGGAUAAUGUACAAACUUUAAUUUAAUAGAGGCAAGUUUUUUAGUUUUCUAACAUUGAUUUUUUCUUUAAAGAGAGUAGUUUAUCCUUCUUUGUAGAAAUUUUUAUUUGACAUUAAAAGUUGUAGAUUACCCUCCUUUAAUUUGACUUAUGGAUUUUUCAAGUUAUUUGAAAUAGAAAAAAAAUUAUAGAUGU